UGGGGAAUAUUGGACAAUGGGGGCAACCCUGAUCCAGCGAUGCCGCGUGGGUGAAGAAGGCCUUCGGGUUGUAAAGCCCUUUAGGUUGGGAAGAAGUAAGAUAACUGAAUAAGUUAUUUUAUUGACGGUACCGACAGAAUAAGCACCGGCAAACUCUGUGCCAGCAGCCGCGGUAAUACAGAGGGUGCGAGCGUUAAUCGGAGUUACUGGGCGUAAAGGGCGCGUAGGCGGUUAGUAGAGUGUGAUGUGAAAGCCCCGGGCUCAACCUGGGAAGUGCAUCGCAAACGGACUAACUGGAGUAUAAGAGAGGGUGGCGGAAUUUCCGGUGUAGCGGUGAAAUGCGUAGAGAUCGGAAGGAACGUCGAUGGCGAAGGCAGCCACCUGGCUUAAUACUGACGCUGAGGCGCGAAAGCGUGGGGAGCGAACAGG
rnacentral:rRNA from 1 species